rnacentral:rRNA from 1 species
AGUGAACGCUGGCGGUAGGCCUAACACAUGCAAGUCGAACGGCAGCACAGUAAGAGCUUGCUCUUACGGGUGGCGAGUGGCGGACGGGUGAGGAAUACAUCGGAAUCUACUUUUUCGUGGGGGAUAACGUAGGGAAACUUACGCUAAUACCGCAUACGACCUACGGGUGAAAGCAGGGGAUCUUCGGACCUUGCGCGAUUGAAUGAGCCGAUGUCGGAAUAGCUAGUUGGCGGGGUAAAGGCCCACCAAGGCGACGAUCCGUAGCUGGUCUGAGAGGAUGAACAGCGACACUGGAACUGAGACACGGUCCAGACUCCUACGGGAGGCAGCAGUGGGGAAUAUUGGACAAUGGGCGCGAGCCUGAUCCAGCCAUACCGCGUGGGUGAAGAAGGCCUUCGGGUUGUAAAGCCCUUUUGUUGGGAAAGAAAAGCAGCAGGUUAAUACCCCGCUGUUCUGACGGUACCAAAAGAAUAAGCACCGGCUAACUUCGUG